UCCUGAUGAAACAGAUGACGAGUCUUAUCCGGGUUUCCGAUGCAGACACCAUAUUCUUUUAACCAUUCAUGCUUUACUGAUC
rnacentral:snoRNA from 1 species